AUGCCUGGGUGCUUUUCAAGACUGGCGGAGAGAGUGCGUGGACGUCGGCGGCCUACUGCGUCGACAGGUUGUUCAAAUUCAUUUGUGGCUUGUUUUUCUUGUCUUUUUCUGUUUUGCAGGGUUCGUGAUCGUCGACAGGUGGACAGCGACUUCGAAGAGGAAACAACUGUCCUGGAUGAGGUCCAGUUGGAUGUGCCAUUGGAUGAUGUGCUAGAUGUUCCACAGCUGCCAGUCCUCCUUGAUGUCCAGAAUGCUGCUAUGAUCCUUGAGGAUGUGCCAGAUGUGCAGACUAUCCUUGAGGUACAAUUUUCUGAAAAUGCCACUGGCAUUUGGCAGUUGAUUCCGAUUAGGUUCAGCCCCCAGUACUGUGGGCCUGUUGUGAUCAGGGUAAGAGACCCCCCCCCCCCCCCCCCCCCCCCCCCACACACACACACACAGUCACAUCACUGUUACAAUGUUUACUGUUUCCAACAUGAAUGUAUUGUAAUGUGCAGAACAAUGCCGGUCCGGUGGUUAAAGCUUGGAGAACAUUCCAGUUCAUCGGCCCCAUCAUCACCUACAUGCGUGGGGGAUCCCAGGUAUGUGUCUUUGUAACAACCUAAUCAUAAUCUAUAUUGUCAGUCAUUUGAUCUUGAUGGAAAUGUGUCACAGCAAUUGCCGAAGUGGUUUUGUUGAUGUUGUCUUGUUGUUUAUCUCAACAGCAGGUGGUGGUGAGGAUGCACCACGUGAGUAGGGUGAAAGG
rnacentral:lncRNA from 1 species